GGUUCUCUGGGCUGCAGUUCUAUUAUAGUUAUCCCUCUGUUCUUGUUGCUGUUAGUGUCUCUGUUUUCUGCCUCUGUUCACAGUCCAGGUCCUGUAGACGCUCAGCAGAACAGAGUCAGGGUUCUGUAUCAACAGAUCUUCCUCCAGAGCUAGGUGAAGGUAUCAGUCACCAGGGUUCUGUAUCAACAGAUCUUCCUCCAGAGCUAGGUGAAGGUAUCAGUCCAGGGUUCUGUAUCAACAGAUCUUCCUCCAGAGCUAGGUGAAGGUAUCAGUCACCAGGGUUCUGUAUCAACAGAUCUUCCUCCAGAGCUAGGUGAAAGUAUCAGUCACCAGGGUUCUGUAUCAACAGUCUUCCUCCAGAGCUAGGUGAAGGUAUCAGUCCAGGGUUCUGUAUCAACAGUCUUCCUCCAGAGCUAGGUGAAGGUAUCAGUCACCAGGGUUCUGUAUCAACAGAUCUUCCUCCAGAGCUAGGUGAAGGUAUCAGUCCAGGGUUCUGUAUCAACAGAUCUUCCUCCAGAGCUAGGUGAAGGUAUCAGUCCAGGGUUCUGUAUCAACAGAUCUUCCUCCAGAGCUAACUCUCUCUCCAGUGAUGGUGCUUUUCAGAGGAGCUGAUCUGUUCUGUGCUGUUCUGUUAUGCACAUCUCUGUAGUUUGUUAGAUCAGUUAUUAGAGACAAACUGGUUCUGUUGUGCUCCUCUCUGUAGUCUGUUUGAUCAGGUCUAA